GAUACCUUUAAAAAAGUCCAGAGAGGCUCCUAAGGUUACAUGACAAAAAGGGGUGUAUUUGCACGCCAACUUUUCGGUAACCUUGCUUCUUUGGAAGUAAGGUUUUUUUAU
rfam:Streptococcus parauberis NCFD 2020 Noncontiguous_Finished_Chromosome chromosome, whole genome shotgun sequence.